rnacentral:rRNA from 1 species
UAGUUGUUGGGAAUUNCAUUCUCAGUAACGUAGUAACGCGUGAAGUCAGCCCCUGGGGAGUACGGUCGCAAGAUUAAACUCAAAGGAAUUGACGGGACCCGCACAAGCGGUGGAUGAUGUGGAAUUAAUUCGAUGCAACGCGAAAAACCUUACCUACCCUUGACAUGUCACUAACGAAGUAGAGAUACAUUAGGUGCCCGUAAGGGAAAGUGAACACAGGUGCUGCAUGGCUGUCGUCAGCUCGUGUCGUGAGAUGUUGGGUUAAGUCCCGCAACGAGCGCAACCCUUGUCUUUAGUUGCUACGCAAGAGCACUCUAAAGAGACUGCCGGUGACAAACCGGAGGAAGGUGGGGAUGACGUCAAGUCCUCAUGGCCCUUAUGGGUAGGGCUUCACACGUCAUACAAUGGUGCGUACAGAGGGUUGCCAACCCGCGAGGGGGAGCUAAUCUCUUAAAACGCAUCGUAGUCCGGAUCGUAGUCUGCAACUCGACUACGUGAAGCUGGAAUCGCUAGUAAUCGCGGAUCAGCAUGUCGCGGUGAAUACGUUCCCGGGUCUUGUACACACCGCCCGUCACACCAUGGGAGUGGGUUUUGCCAGAAGCAGUUAGCCUAACCGUAAGGAGGGCGAUUGCCACGGCAGGGUUCAUGACUGGGGUGAGGUCGUAACAAGGUAACCGUA